UACGGGGGGGGCAAGCGUUGUUCGGAAUUACUGGGCGUAAAGGGCUCGUAGGCGGCCAACUAAGUCCGACGUGAAAUCCCCAGGCUUAACCUGGGAACUGCGUCGGAUACUGGAUGGCUUGAAUCCGGGAGAGGGAUGCGGAAUUCCAGGUGUAGCGGUGAAAUGCGUAGAUAUCUGGAGGAACACCGGUGGCGAAGGCGACAUCCUGGACCGGCAUUGACGCUGAGGAGCGAAAGCCAGGGGAGCAAACGGG
rnacentral:rRNA from 1 species